UACAGAGGGGGCAAGCGUUAUUCGGAAUCACUGGGCUUACAGAGUUCGUAGGCGGUCUGGAAAGUUGGGUGUGAAAUCCCUCGGCUCAACCGAGGAACUGCGCUUGAAACUACCAGACUCGAGGGAGAUAGAGGAAAGCGGAACUGAUGGUGGAGCGGUGAAAUGCGUUGAUAUCAUCAGGAACACCGGUGGCGAAGGCGGCUUUCUGGGUCUUACCUGACGCUGAGGAACGAAAGCCAGGGGAGCGAACGGG
rnacentral:rRNA from 1 species